CAUUCUUCUUCUCUCUCCUCCCCUUAUUUCUCACGCCCCUUCUUCCUUCAUUUCUCACUCCUCUACUCUCUCCAUCUCCUUCGUUCUCUUUCUGCUCUUUCCUUCUCCUUUCUUAAGCCUCCCUUUGUUUUCUCUCUCCUCUUAUCACUGGCAAAAAUCCGAGGAGAAAACGAGCAAAAUCCGAGCAGGUAUUUCAAUUUAAUUUUGAUUUUUGUUGGAUGCGAGGUGGCGUCGGUUGCGGUAGUGGGCUGCUGGCUUCUGUUAAAUGUGUUAAUUGCUGGCGUCGGAUGGUGGCGGGCUGGUGGCUUUGACUGCGGUGGUGGCGGAAUAGGGUGGUGGUGAUUUUGGUUGUAAUAUUUUUUGGUGGUGAAUUAUAAUGUAAUAAUAUUACAAUUAGUUAUUAAUGGAAAUAUAAAUUUUUAUA